UGUGUGUGUUAGGUGUAUAGGCGCAUAUCGUAUCGUAUAUAAAUAUAUAUGUAUAUAUAUUACAAAGUUAAUUGUUUUUGUCUCAGUGUGAAUAUUACAAUCGUUUCUCUUGCACAGACAUGCACAAACAUGCGCAUUUUUGCACAUUCUUGCACAUUUUUUACACAAUCUUGCACAAUCUUGUGUUUAUUUGCACAUUCUUGCACAUUUCUGCUCAUUCUUGCACAAUCCUGCACAAUCUUGCACAUUCUUGCACAAUUCCUGUCCAUUUAGAGCUAUCGCUUCUGUUUUUUUUUGCAUUUUUUGUUCCAUUGUCGUGAUUUUUUUUUUUGUUUUUUGGGGAUUUGUAUUUAAAUUUAAGAAGAAAGCGGAAGAAAGCAAGGAAAACCUCUAUUUAUAAAAUAAGGUUGCACGUAAACACUUGUUGAACGAAACUCUAGUCGGGAAACACUCCUCCCCCCUUCGGCCGACACUCUAAAAAAAUGCUCGACCUAAUUACAAAUUACAAAACGAAGAGCGCUUUCUCUCUCUCUCUCUCUAUAUAUAUAUAUAUGUUAAAUAUAUAAUAAAAAAAAACAUUACAAAAAAGUAGUUGUAAUUGAACUUACAAAAAAAAAAAGGAAAGUAAGAAAAGGGGAGAAGGAGGAGGAGGAGUUGUAGAAGUACUUUCUCGUAAGAGAGAUACGAGUAGAAUGGGGAAUACGAAUAGGUAGGUAGGAGGAGGAGGUGUACCUCCAUGUGUCCACAUGCUCUCCGCAUCCACAAUCCCUUCUUCCACUGUCUGUCUGCUUCUUCUAGUUGAGUUGUGGGUGGUUUUGGGUGGUUUCUUGUUGUUGUUGUUGUUGUUGCAACUAAUUACUGUUGCUGACGACCGCCACGGGUGCCACCGGGGCCACCGUCGCACUGUUGUGGUUG
rnacentral:sRNA from 1 species